rnacentral:lncRNA from 1 species
CCCACUCAUCAACAAUCAUUGCUUCUUAGAUCCAGCUGUGGAGGACAUAUCCCUGCUUGAUCAAAUCUGGAGACUGAAGAAAUUCCUCCUCAAGACUUCCUUGUUGACUCCAGUGAUGGAGAACAUCUACCUGAUAGUCCAAAAUUGGCAACUGCCACCAUGAUCAGGGGAGUCUUCUUCUUUCCCUUCCCCCAUUUUCUCACUUGAAUUUCACUUGUCCUUGAUCUGUUGAUUGUUAUUAUUUCUGAUCUUAUGCUUGUGACACAUUGAGGACAUUGUGUCGUUUAAGUGUGGUCUAUUAGGGGAGACGUUGAUUUGUCUUUGAUUAGUUUCUAUUUUCUGCGUUAAAAUUUUUGUUUUCUAGGUAGUUUUGUUGUGUCUUGUGUACAGUUUGCAUGUUUUUCUUGAAUUCUGGACUAUGAUUAGGUUGUCAGUUUUCUUUCACUGCAUUGAUACUCUGAUUUAUUGGAUUCCUUCUUUUUCUUUGCUUGGAAGAUGAUCAUGAUGUUUGAGAGUUGAUUUGAUUGUGACAGAAAUACCCUAUAUGAGAUUUGAGCCACUUGAUGAUCUUUCUUGUGUGUGAUAUGUCUCUUGAUUGCUUGCACAUAUGCCUUGGCUUUACUCUGUUGAUAAUUCUUGACUCAUGUGCAUGUUUGAAAAUGAUAAAGGCGUUUUGUUGAUUGAGCCUCUCUAGCCAGAUAGCCUACCUUGUUUUGAACCUUUGUUAGCCCUUUGAGCAUAUACUUUCCCCCA